rnacentral:rRNA from 1 species
GCCACAGCCGUAUCAACCUGCAGCCUAACACUGGUUACCCACUGAAGCUAAGCAGGGCUGAGACUGCUCAGUGUCUGGAUGGGAGACCACACGGGAACACUAGGUUGCUGUUGGCA